UCGGGAAUUUUGGGCAAUGGGGGAAACCCUGACCCAGCAACGCCGCGUGAAGGAUGAAGUAUUUCGGUAUGUAAACUUCGAAAGAAUAGGAAGAAUAAAUGACGGUACUAUUUAUAAGCUCCGGCUAACUACGUGCCAGCAGCCGCGGUAAUACGUAGGGAGCAAGCGUUGUUCGGAUUUACUGGGCGUAAAGGGCGCGUAGGCGGCGCGGUAAGUCACUUGUGAAAUCUCUGAGCUUAACUCAGAACGGCCAAGUGAUACUGCAGUGCUAGAGUGCAGAAGGGGCAAUCGGAAUUCUUGGUGUAGCGGUGAAAUGCGUAGAUAUCAAGAGGAACACCUGAGGUGAAGACGGGUUGCUGGGCUGACACUGACGCUGAGGCGCGAAAGCCAGGGGAGCAAACGGGAUUAGAUACCCCAGUAGUCCCUGAGCGGGCUGGCAAGGCGCAU
rnacentral:rRNA from 1 species